GUCGAGAAUCUUUCACAAUGGGGGCAACCCUGAUGGAGCGACGCCGCGUGGAGGAUAAGGUCUUCGGAUUGUAAACUCCUGUCAUGCGUGAACAAGGUUGCUUGGUUAAUACCUGGGCAAAUUGAUGGUAACGCAAGAGGAAGAGACGGCUAACUCUGUGCCAGCAGCCGCGGUAAUACAGAGGUCUCAAGCGUUGUUCGGAAUCACUGGGCGGAAAGGGUGCGUAGGUGGCGUGGUAAGUCAGAUGUGAAAGCCCGGGGCUCAACCUCGGAACUGCAUCCGAUACUGCCAUGCUAGAGUACUGGAGAGGUGACUAGAAUUCUCGGUGUAGCAGUGAAAUGCGUAGAUAUCGAGAGGAAUACCAAAGGCGUAGGCAGGUCACUGGACAGUUACUGACACUGAGGCACGAAGGCCAGGGGAGCGAACGGGAUUAGAAACCCUAGUAGUCC
rnacentral:rRNA from 1 species